rnacentral:rRNA from 1 species
UACGAAGGGGGCUAGCGUUGCUCGGAAUUACUGGGCGUAAAGGGCGCGUAGGCGGACAGUUUAGUCAGAGGUAAAAGCCCAGGGCUCAACCUUGGAACUGCCUUUGAUACUGGCUGUCUUGAGUUCGGGAGAGGUGAGUGGAAUGCCGAGUGUAGAGGUGAAAUUCGUAGAUAUUCGGCGGAACACCAGUGGCGAAGGCGACUCACUGGCCCGGUACUGACGCUGAGGCGCGAAAGCGUGGGGAGCAAACAGG